AUGAGGAUGAGUAGCCCAGCCACCUACCAUAUGAAUUUCCAAGUACAUACUUACAGUGGUGCUGGGUUGUCCACCCACAGGCAAGUCUCCUUGUAUAUUCAAACAGCCACUAUCUCCUUCAGGACCUCUGGUGGGAAAGUCCAGGACUGGUCAGCCUCUGAGCCUGUAACAUGGAGAGAGUGGAAUCAGAACAAACUGUCCGGAACAACCAGACAAUAACAGUCAGCAGCAAGAUGAACUGGGCAGUCAAAAAUAAACUCCAGGAAUGAAGAGAUUGUGGGAGUGCUACUCAAGUGCCUUAUGUCUGGUGUAAAAACAUGGAUCUGAAGGUAAUUUAAGGCCAUGUCUAUCUGUAAAAAAGGAGAGAGAUAGGACUCGUGGACCAAGUGGGUGGUGGAGAAUGGUACUCUGCCAGUAUACCUGCACCAUGAAGGGGAGGGCAUUUAUUUGUCAGGAGUCCAGGAAGACAUAGGCUAACAAUGAAAGUAAUGCAUACAUUGAUGCACCUUCAAAUCUUCACCCAGUCAGGCACUGUUGGCCAGUUCUUUGCAUUGCAGACAUUGCUGGGACCACAUAUCAUGUCUCAUUCCCAGUUUGUAGUAUCUGAGUCUGAAAGUCCCAUGGCCCUUUCUCACUAUCAUCUUUGAGCCUCAGUUUCCUCAUAUGCACAAUGAAAUUCAUACCAUGGUUUCAGGGAUGUUGUGGGAAUCCAGUGUGAUCAUCCUUGUUAAGGGUCUAGCACACAAGAGAUGGUUAAGGAAUUAGUAUCUUACUUCCUAAAUCCAUAUAUUGGAG
rnacentral:lncRNA from 1 species